rnacentral:rRNA from 1 species
UCGUAACAAGGUAACCGUAAUUGGACUCUGGGAUAAGCCCGGGAAACUGGGUCUAAUACCGGAUACGACCAGUCCUCGCAUGGGGUGCUGGUGGAAAGGGUUUGUACUGGUUCUUGAUGGGCUCACGUCCUAUCAGCUUGUUGGUGAGGUAAUGGCUUACCAAGGCGACGACGGGUAGCCGGCCUGAGAGGGUGACCGGCCACACUGGGACUGAGACACGGCCCAGACUCCUACGGGAGGCAGCAGUGGGGAAUAUUGCACAAUGGGCGCAAGCCUGAUGCAGCGACGCCGCGUGGGGGAUGACGGCCUUCGGGUUGUAAACCUCUUUCAGCAGGGAAGAAGCGAAAGUGACGGUACCUGCAGAAGAAGCGCCGGCUAACUACGUGCCAGCAGCCGCGGUAAUACGUAGGGCGCAAGCGUUGUCCGGAAUUAUUGGGCGUAAAGAGCUCGUAGGCGGUUUGUCGCGUCUGCUGUGAAAGCCCGGGGCUCAACCCCGGGUGUGCAGUGGGUACGGGCAGGCUGGAGUGCAGUAGGGGAGACUGGAAUUCCUGGUGUAGCGGUGAAAUGCGCAGAUAUCAGGAGGAACACCGAUGGCGAAGGCAGGUCUCUGGGCUGUUACUGACGCUGAGGAGCGAAAGCAUGGGGAGCGAACAGGAUUAGAUACCCUGGUAGUCCAUGCCGUAAACGUUGGGCACUAGGUGUGGGGGACAUUCCACGUUUUCCGCGCCGUAGCUAACGCAUUAAGUGCCCCGCCUGGGGAGUACGGCCGCAAGGCUAAAACUCAAAGGAAUUGACGGGGGCCCGCACAAGCGGCGGAGCAUGCGGAUUAAUUCGAUGCAACGCGAAGAACCUUACCAAGGCUUGACAUACACCGGAUCGCAGCAGAGAUGUUGUUUCCCUUCGGGGCUGGUGUACAGGUGGUGCAUGGUUGUCGUCAGCUCGUGUCGUGAGAUGUUGGGUUAAGUCCCGCAACGAGCGCAACCCUCGUUCUAUGUUGCCAGCACGUUGUGGUGGGGACUCAUAGGAGACUGCCGGGGUCAACUCGGAGGAAGGUGGGGAUGACGUCAAAUCAUCAUGCCCCUUAUGUCUUGGGCUUCACGCAUGCUACAAUGGCCGGUACAAUGGGUUGCGAUACUGUGAGGUGGAGCUAAUCCCAAAAAGCCGGUCUCAGUUCGGAUUGGGGUCUGCAACUCGACCCCAUGAAGUCGGAGUCGCUAGUAAUCGCAGA